GCUGGCAGGGCUGUCAGUGCAGGUCGGGGCCGAUCGUAGAGAUGCCGCGUUGUGAGCGGCAGGUUAGGGGUUCAAGUCCCCUCGCCGGCU
rnacentral:tRNA from 1 species